GACGAACGCUGGCGGCGUGCUUAACACAUGCAAGUCGAACGGAGAGGCCCUGCUUUUGUGGGGUGCUCGAGUGGCGAACGGGUGAGUAACACGUGAGUAACCUGCCCUUGACUUUGGGAUAACUUCAGGAAACUGGGGCUAAUACCGGAUAGGAGCUCCUGCUGCAUGGUGGGGGUUGGAAAGUUUCGGCGGUUGGGGAUGGACUCGCGGCUUAUCAGCUUGUUGGUGGGGUAGUGGCUUACCAAGGCUUUGACGGGUAGCCGGCCUGAGAGGGUGACCGGCCACAUUGGGACUGAGAUACGGCCCAGACUCUUACGGGAGGCAGCAGUGGGGAAUAUUGCACAAUGGGCGGAAGCCUGAUGCAGCAACGCCGCGUGCGGGAUGACGGCCUUCGGGUUGUAAACCGCUUUCGCCUGUGACGAAGCGUGAGUGACGGUAAUGGGUAAAGAAGCACCGGCUAACUACGUG
rnacentral:rRNA from 1 species